UUUCUUUCUUUCUCUUCGACUCUGCUAACUUUCUAAUAUAGUGAUACUUCUCUCUAUCUUUAUUGCUUUCUGGUUGUUUGUUUCUCUUACAAUCUUCCUACAGUGACUGUACAUUGCAGUUUGUAAACAUUACCCAAAAUUCAAGGGAAAAAAAACGAGCAUUGUACAGUUCAUUCAAAAAAGAGUGUACUGAGUAGCAGAAAUAGCACACAAUCUGAAAUAAGGUAUCUGUCUUCCUUCCUUGCCACUUUUGGUCGUGUCUUUUUCAGUUUCAGAGCUGAGCUUUGGAAGUUGUGUCUGUUUUACUCUGACUAAUACUGUUUUGCCUGCUAUGUUUUUAAUAAAUGAGUAUUUAUGAUGCUGAAACUAAUGUCUCUUCUCUUCAGUUAACUAGAAUUGUGUUUUUUUGGACAUUGGUUGGCACUUCUCUUUGUAACUUUGAAGCAAAUUAAAGCUGUGAGCUUUGUUUUCUCCCUUAUAUAUGUGUAUUGAAUUGGGAUGUUAGUUACCUCUUUUCCUAUUGUUUUGGAGGAGCUAGCUUGAUUGGUUUCUUUGUCCUGAUUUUAGCUAAGCUUCUUGGAUGAAUUUUCCUUAAUUUUCAGGUGUAAUUACUUUCUUAGUUUUAUUUACAUUUGUUGAACUAGAAAUUUUGGGAAUUAUUGUUCAGUCUUUAUGCACAAAUGCAGAAUCUUGUUCCUUCAAUCUCACUACUUGUGUGGAUGUUUAAUGAUUUUUCUCUUUCUUUCUUUUUGUAGCCAUCCUACCUCAAGGGUAAACGGUGUUUCCUCAUUAACUCUAAUGUGACUCAAACUCCUGACUAAUCAAUUGGAAAUGGGGAGGCAUUUCACUAGCUGAGCCAAACUCUCUCGUCUCAACGAGGAACUUUAAGUGGCCAAUUGUUUGAUUUGUAUGUUAUAGGUUAUUUCCUGAAUUUUGUUUUUUUAGCUUGUGUAAAUUCGAUUCAAUUCCAAAUAAUGGAUAUGAGUAGCAAGAAUGAUACUGAGCAACUAAAGGGGAACGAGGAUACUGCGAAUUUUCAGUUACUUUUUCAAGCCAUCUUACCUCAGGGGUAAGCAAUGUUUCCUCAUUAACUCUUAUGUGACUCAAACUCCUGACUUAUCAAUUGGAAGUGGG
rnacentral:lncRNA from 1 species